AUUGAACGCUGGCGGCAGGCCUAACACAUGCAAGUCGAGCGGCGCGGCGGACGGGUGGGUAAUGCCUAGGAAUCUGCCUGGUAGUGGGGGAUAACGUCCGGAAACGUGCGCUAAUACCGCAUACUAUCAGAUGAGCCUCGGUCGGCUUAGCUAGUUGGUGGGGUAAAGGCCUACCAAGGCGACGAUCCGUAACUGGUCUGAGAGGAUGAUCAGUCACACUGGAACCGAGACACGGUCCAGACUCCUACGGGAGGCAGCAGGUGGGAAUAUUGGACAAAGGGCGAAAGCCUGAUCCAGCCAUGGCGCGUGUGUGAAGAAGGUCUUCGGAUUGUAAAGCACUUUAAGUUGGGAGGCGGUACUAACAGAAUAAGCACAGGCUAACUUCGUGCCAGCAGCCGCGGUAAUAC
rnacentral:rRNA from 1 species